rnacentral:rRNA from 1 species
UACGGGGGGUGCGAGCGUUGUCCGGAAUCACUGGGCGUAAAGGGCGCGUAGGUGGUUUGAUAAGGGUGUGGUGAAAGCCCGGGGCUCAACCCCGGGUCUGCCGUGCCGACUGUCAAACUCGAGGGCUGUAGAGGCAGACGGAAUUCCGGGUGUAGCGGUGGAAUGCGUAGAGAUCCGGAGGAAGACCGGUGGCGAAGGCGGUCUGCUGGGCAGUUUCUGACACUGAUGCGCGACAGCGUGUGGAGCAAACAGG